UGACCUUUCGUACAACGGCAGUACAUCAGAUUUUGGUUCUGAGAAUGUAGGUUCGAUUCCUGCAAGGUCAAC
rnacentral:tRNA from 1 species